ACGAACGCUGGCGGCGUGCCUAACACAUGCAAGUCGAGCGAAUGAAGUUCCUUCGGGAACGGAUUUAGCGGCGACGGGUGAGUAACACGUGGGCAACCUGCCUCAUAGAGGGGAAUAGCCUUCCCGAAAGGGAGAUUAAUACCGCAUAAGCGCACGGUAUCGCAUGAUACAGUGUGAAAAACUCCGGUGGUAUGAGAUGGACCCGCGUCUGAUUAGCUGGUUGGUGAGGUAACGGCCCACCAAGGCGACGAUCAGUAGCCGACCUGAGAGGGUGACCGGCCACAUUGGGACUGAGACACGGCCCAGACUCCUACGGGAGGCAGCAGUGGGGAAUAUUGCACAAUGGAGGAAACUCUGAUGCAGCGACGCCGCGUGAGUGAAGAAGUAGUUCGCUAUGUAAAGCUCUAUCAGCAGGGAAGAUAGUGACGGUACCUGACUAAGAAGCUCCGGCUAAAUACGUG
rnacentral:rRNA from 1 species